GACAGAGGUCCCGAGCGUUAGGCGGAAUCACUGGGCUUAAAGCGUGUGUAGGCGGAUUUGUAAGUACCUUGUGAAAUCCCACGGCUUAACCGUGGAACUGCUUGGUAUACUGCUUAUCUUGGGCCAUCUAGGGGCGAGCGGAACAAACGGUGGAGCGGUGAAAUGCGUAGAUAUCGUUUGGAACGCCAAUGGUGAAAACAGCUCGCUGGGGAUGUGCCGACGCUGAGAUACGAAAGCCAGGGGAGCGAACGGG
rnacentral:rRNA from 1 species